GUCUGAGGAUUUAUCUGUGUUACAAGAAUGAUUCCUGGCAGCUGGAUGUUCACAGGGAAGAGGGAUGCCCCAUGGCUUUGUAUAAGGAGUUUGCUCCUAUUCCUGCCUGCAGUUGUCUGCCAAACACUUCCAUGGCCCCAGAUCCAAGUGGUGAGGAGUAUUUCUGGACCAAUUGUGUUCUGUCUCUUAAUUUGAUUAAUUGAUUGAAUUCAGCUGUUGUAUUCUUCUUUGUUAAUCUAAAACAUAUUGAGCUCUAUUUGGGCAGAAAGAUUUAUUUUCUUAGCUGUUAGUCUAGCCCUGUAUGAUUUUUCCUUUGUUCAAGGGAUCUAAGGGUUCAAUUAUUAUGUUUGUACAUUGGAGUGCAAGGUACGUGGCUUGUGUGUUUUUUUUUUGAAACUUUUGAUAAGUGCUUCUAAAACCAUUCGAGCAUCAGUUUAUGAAUCAGCCACUACAGGCUGCGUUGAGUUUCUUUGGGGAAGGAAAAAGGGAAAUGUUUCACCUGUGCUUUGUAUAGCAAACGUUGUCAAACUUUGCUUCUGGUACUGGAAUUUUGCUUGCUGCCAUUUCUGCACCCUGCUGAGGAACAGAGCAGCUUCACAGAGCCACCUCCCCCCCUCCCCGCCUGUUUAUCUGUUUGCUGUCUUCUCUCUGCUGUACCCUGUCUGUUCCUCACUGCUGUUUGCUUUUCUGUUGCUGCUUUUGUGUGCUCACUAAUCACGAUGGGUUUCUUACAAAAAGAAGCUCUAUCUCACAGGGCCCCACAGGUUUCUGAGCUGCCAGGCACUGCGUCGCUGCCAGCACCCUCUGGUUCUCCCAUCACCUUUGCUGCAGUGUUGCUUUGACAGGGUGCAGGAGGCACCGUGAUCCAGAGGGAUCAGCAUGGAUUUUCCUGACACAGUUCUCAGCCCUGCAGUAGUUUCUCCAUCAAUCCUGGAAGAGCAGAGAGCUGGGCUGUGCCACACUGCUGCAACUCCAGACAGCUCCCACGCCUGUUUGACCUAUGCUACAGACUUCUAGACACUGGGAGCAGCCCAGAAACCUCAUGGUGUUGCUUAUUUGUGGGCUGGGGUUGCAGUGUGGGCUAUUGGUCUGCAGCUGAGGAAAAUGUAGUCAAAAGUUUGUCUCUGAUGUGGCAGAAAUGUUUGCAAGGGGCUGGGGGUGUACAAGCAUGGCUGCUGCUUUCCCUGCCUGGCUGAGCUGCAAGGUGACUGCAGACCUUCAGCUACAACCCCUGCAGCAACCAGAAACACAAAAUCAAAACUUGUGCUGCUUCUUUCCAGCUAAUCAACAAGUAAACAGCACCUUAGGGAAUACAAAAACAGAGUUGCCUGACCCAAGUGAAGUCCCAGGACAAAUACUUGUGCAGCAUCUAGAUGAGUCUUUCCAAAACUUGCCAAGAAGAUGGUUAUUUGGGAGUGUGGUAGGAAAGGAAAGUCACUUCAGUGCAUCAGCAAUCUGAACUGCCUGCAAAUGGGCAGGGCUGGUGCCACUGGCUGCCAAGGAGAUGUCAGUGCAGAGUGCUCCUUUUGUGCCCCCAUCCCUGGCACUUGUGAUGUGGAGGGAUGGUCUGAGCUGUGAUGAAGGCAGGAUGCCAGUUUCCAGCACCCCAGGGAGCGUGUUUAUGGGUAAGUAUUUGCACUGCAGUGAACUUUGCAUAUUCAAGAGUUUCUUUGUUGUAAUCCAAGCUGCAGGUUCUGAGUCUUUUCUUGUUCUGUUUUGGCUCAGGGCUGAGGUGAUGCUGCUGGAGCUCAGAUGCCUGCUUUCCAUUAUUCAUGGAUUUCCCAGCUGCUCAGUUUGCACUAAAGAAACCUCUGACCAUUGGGACAACUAAGAGUGACAAGGCAGCAAGAUGUCCCAGCCAGCCAAGCACUGUGUGUUAGAUGGUGUCCUUGAAGUUGAGCCCCACAAGCUGACACAGCACAUCAAGUCCUGUGUUCCCUGGAGCAGCUCUAGGUCAAACAGCAGAGGACUGUCACAGGAGUUCAGGCACUAGUUCUGUGCUGAAGAACACAGCAAUGGCUUCGAAGGAGCAGAAGGAGUACUAUGACAAUGAAAUGCAUUUUUGUCUUUAAGUUCUCUCUUGUCUUCCCUUCCCCUCCCAGGUUCCAGGAUUUCAGCCUCAGCUGUUUUCAUUUGGGAUUGCAAUGCUUGUUGUGUUCACGUCACACCGAGUUGAUAUAAUGGAUAGGAAUUAGUUAAAAUAAUACCAGAGUUUGGCUCCUAUGUGCCUCCUCCUUUCUGCUUAUGUGAAAAUGUCUCCAGUUUUCAGCCACCUCUCCUAAAAUCUGCAGGACUGAGCUCAUUGGGGUCCCGGGUCAGGACUUGUGCCUUAGGCUGAGGUUGGAGCAGUGACCUCUGAGUGCUGGCUGGAUGUGGGGAGGGGCAGUGGAAGGACAACUUUUAUUUAUUUUGAAUUGCUUUCUGGAACAGAAGUAAAGUUGAAGGGAUGUGCACAUUAAAAGUAAAGCAGCAAAUCUUUUCUCUGUGUCUUUCAGAUAUGUGAUCCAGUUAAACCAUUGCCAUGUAAGUCUUUUUAUGCUGUUAAUUUGCCCAGUAGUCGGUGUUGCUCUGUUACAUUGCGCUUCUGGCUUUAGUGAACAGCUUUGUACAAUAAUAAAUCUGGGUUUAAAACCAA